rfam:Myotis lucifugus cont2.17457, whole genome shotgun sequence.
GUGGCUCAGUGGUUGAGCGUCAAACUAUGAAUCAGAAGGUCACCGGUUCGAUUCCGGUC